rnacentral:tRNA from 4 species
GGUCCCAUAGCUCAGUUGGUUAGAGCACCUGACUCAUAAUCAGGGAGUCCUUGGUUCAAGCCCAAGUGGGACCACAA